ACUUGAAAGAGCGGUGUCCUAGAACGAACCAAUGACAAGCCCCAUUUGGCCUCUUCCCAGCCCGCCCCCUCCGGAGGUCAAAAGCCUUGGUCAGAAGCCCUGUGGCCUGUGCGGUGAGCCCGGGGUCUCCAGGUCGGCCUUGGUUGUUCCGCUCGCCAGCUCGCUGCCCACAUGGCUCUGAGAGGCGUCUAUGGGUGGCUACUGAGCCGCGGACCCAGCCUGCGAGUCCUUCGUUCAUGGAGCUCGGCGGCGACGCAGACCGAAAAAGGCGGGAAGACCCAGAGCCGAUCAGCCAAGUCCUCGCGGCCCGAGUUUGACUGGAGGGACCCACUAUUGCUGGAGGAGCAGCUGACAGCAGAUGAGGUCCUCAUCAGGGACACCUUCCGCACCUACUGCCAGGAGCGCCUCAUGCCCCGCAUCCUGCUGGCCAAUCGCAACGAAGUUUUUCACCGGGAGAUCAUCUCAGAGAUGGGGGAACUGGGUGUGCUGGGCCCCACCAUCAAAGGGUAUGGCUGUGCUGGAGUCUCAUCUGUGGCCUAUGGGCUCCUGGCCCGAGAGCUGGAGCGAGUGGACAGCGGCUACAGGUCAGCGAUGAGUGUCCAGUCCUCUCUUGUCAUGCACCCCAUCUACGCGUACGGCAGCGAGGAGCAGCAACAGAAGUACCUGCCCCGGCUGGCCAAGGGGGAGCUCCUGGGCUGCUUUGGGCUCACAGAGCCUAACCAUGGGAGUGACCCCGGCAGCAUGGAGACCAGAGCCCGCCAGAACCCGUCCGGCAGGAGCUACACCCUCAAUGGGGCCAAGACCUGGAUCACCAACUCACCUGUGGCCGACCUGUUUGUAGUGUGGGCUCGGUGCGAAGAUAGUUGCAUUCGGGGCUUCCUGUUGGAGAAGGGGAUGCGGGGCCUCUCGGCCCCCAAGAUUGAGGGAAAGUUUUCUCUGCGGGCCUCGGCCACGGGUAUGAUUAUCAUGGACGACGUGGAAGUGCCAGAGGAGAAUGUGCUGCCCAAAGCGUCUGGUCUGGCGGGUCCCUUCGGCUGCCUAAACAAUGCCCGCUAUGGCAUCACCUGGGGUGUGCUUGGAGCUGCUGAGUUCUGUUUGCACACGGCCCGGCAGUACACCCUGGACAGGAUCCAGUUUGGUGUCCCACUGGCCAAGAACCAACUGAUUCAGAAGAAGCUGGCGGACAUGCUCACCGAGAUCACGCUGGGCCUUCAUGCCUGCCUGCAGCUCGGCCGCUUGAAGGAUCAAGACAAGGCCACCCCGGAAAUGAUCUCCCUGCUGAAGAGGAAUAACUGUGGGAAGGCCCUGGACAUUGCCCGCCAAGCCCGAGACAUGCUGGGAGGGAAUGGGAUUUCUGACGAGUAUCACGUGAUCCGGCAUGCCAUGAACCUGGAGGCCGUGAACACCUAUGAAGGCAUUCCCAGAGCGGGGCAUUAAUGCCCAGGGAGCUGGUGGAUGCAAGGGAGUGAGAGUGCAGCUACACACAGGAAUCACCACUCCAUUUUAUGUGAGAAAAAAAGAGAAAAGGCACUCAUGACAUCCAUGCUCUGAUCCUCGGAAGGGCAAUCACAGGGAUCCAGGCGUUCACAGCCAGCAAGUGAACCCACUUCACCUGCGAGCCCGGAUGGUACCAAACCCCUUCCCAGGGAAAUACUGCGCUCUGAGCUUAGUCAGGGAGGUGGCAGAUGGAGCCAUUUCUUCUGGUGGGAAGUGAGAGACGCUGAUUUUUAAAUAUCAAAAUUUCCCUUUUGAAGUCAUUCAAAUGUGUUCCUUAAAAAGAAGAUGGGACUGUCUGUACUGAGUUUCUCAAUCCAGUUUUAACUGUGGAUGGGAACAGACUCCACUCACCUUGGAACAGAAGCUCCCUUUGACAGGGGAGCAGGGAGAGGGAAGGAGAGUGACAUGGAAGCAACUUGUGAGGCCCACCUGGUGUCUGACUACGCAAACUACCCCCUCCACACAGCAAGAGUUUACUCUGCGCCCUCUGACCCUCCCAUCUUAGGGUAAGUGCCUUAUGCUGGACGUUGGAGCAGAGUGAGGGGGAAAGAGAGAAUAAUAAAGAGUCUGCAUGUCUGA